rnacentral:tRNA from 1 species
GGGCGUAGUUCAAUGGUAGAACACCAGCCUUCCAAGCUGGAUACGUGGGUUCGAUUCCC